AGAAUUUGCUCUUUCGGGGGUGGGCGGCAUGGUCCAGAAGCACUGAGAUAGGAAGGCUGGUCUUCGUGGCUGCAAAGGUGGCAUGGAUUUCUAAGGACCUGACUUUGGGACAAGAAAUUGUCUCAGCACCACAGGGAGAAGGUUCGGCUGAGGCCAGGACAUGGUUCAAAAGAGCUGGACACCGGCCUGCUGCCCGGGAAGGUACCAUGGUGGUUUCAAUGCAUGGUCACAAAUCUUUUGGUAGGUGAGGCUUACUUGCCAUCCGCUUGAGUGACUAAUGAAUAGGAGGAAGUGGAAGGGAUGGCGUGUGACCUUGGAGACGAGGCUACAAAGCUCCCUGGGACCCCCUGCGCUGGGUGAAGUGAGCCGCCAUGACCUGGGGACACUCUAGUAGCCUAGAGAGGCGCCAUCUGGACUCUGGCCUCCUUCAAGCCUUCAAGUGCCCGUAGCCCCUGUUGAUGCUGAGCCAAGACCAUUGUGCUAAGCUGUUCCUGAAUCCCUGACCCCCUGAAACUGUAAGAUAAUAAAUGUUUGUCGUUUAAAGCUA